ACGGCGGGCAUUUGGCGGACUCUAAGUUAAUCUCCAAGCCCAAUGGUAAUUCUCGUCAAUUGGGCUUGAAGAUUAGCUUAGACCCCGCCAAAUACAUCACACGU
rnacentral:pre_miRNA from 1 species